GACGAACGCUGGCGGCGUGCUUAACACAUGCAAGUCGAACGGAAAGGCCCUGCUUUUGUGGGGUGCUCGAGUGGCGAACGGGUGAGUAACACGUGAGUAACCUGCCCUUGACUUUGGGAUAACUUCAGGAAACUGGGGCUACUACCGGAUAGGAGCCCCUGCUGCAUGGUGGGGGUUGGAACGUUUCGGCGGUUGGGGAUGGACUCGCGGCUUAUCAGCUUGUUGGUGGGGUAGUGGCUUACCAAGGGUUUGACGGGUAGCCGGCAUGAGAGGGUGACCGGCGACAUGGGUACUGAGAUACGGACCAGAGUCGUACGGGGGGCAGCGGGGGGGAAUAUUGUACAAUGGGCGGAAGCCUGAGGCAGCAACGCCGCGGGCGGGAUGACGGCCUGCGGGUUGUGAACCGCUUUCGCCUGUGACGAAGCGUGAGUGACGGUAAUGGGUAAAGAAGCACCGGCUAACUACGUG
rnacentral:rRNA from 1 species